UAUUUAAUUAAUUUUACUAAUAGUUAUAUAUUUAUUUUAAAAAUUAAACUAUAUAUAUCUAAAUUUAAAUAAUUAAAUUACGAAAUUGCAAAUAGCUUAUUAAAUUAAUUAUAGUUUAUUUAAUAGUACUUUACUAUAUAAAUAACUAUAGUAAUUCUAGAGCUAAUAUAUAUUAAAAACCCCAAUUUUAGAAGGGGUAUAUUUAUUAGAUUAAAAACCAAUACCUUUCGGGGUUAAUUAAUAAUUUAUAAUAACUUCUCGAAUUAUAUAGCUUUGUACUAGCGAUAGUUUAUUUAAAUUUCUACCCUAUCAACUUUCGACGGCUAGGUUUUGGUUAGCUAUGGUAAUAACGGGUAAUAGAGGGUUAGGGCUCGACCCUAGAGAAGGAAUUUGAAAAAUAGUUAUUAUAUUUAAGGAAGGUAGUAGGCGUAUAAAUUACUUAAUCCCAAUAUAGGGAGGUAGUAAUAAUAAAUAUUAAUAUAGGGCUCUUUUAAGUUUUAUAAUUAGAAUAAAUAUAAUUUAAAUCCUUUAACGAAGAAUAAUUAGAGGGCAAGUUUAGUACUAGUAGUUACAGUAAUUUUAAUUCCAAUAAUAUAUAUUAAAAUUGUUAAGGUUAAAAAGCUCGUAGUUGAACCUUGGGCUCGGCCCGUCGGUCCGCCUUAUUACGUAUAUUAAUUAGGUUAGGCCUUUUUUCUUAGAGAACCGUAUACCCUUUACUAGGUAUAUUAGGGAAUUAGGACUUUUACUAUAAAUAAAUUAGAUUAUUUAAAGAAGGCCUAUAUUCGAAUAUAUUAGUAUAGAAUAAUAGAAUAGGAUGUAUAAUUCUAUUUUAUUAGUUUUUAGGACCGCUAUAAUAAUUAAUAGGGAUAGUCGGGGGUAUUAGUAUUUAAUUAUUAGAAGUAAAAUUCUUAAAUUUAUUGAAGAUUAAUUAUUACAAAAGUAUUUACUAAGGAUGUUUUUAUUAAUUAGGAAUAAAAGUUAAGGGAUUGAAGAUAAUUAGAUAUUAUUAUAAUUUUAAUUAUAAAUUAUAUUAAUUAGGGAUUAAAUAGUAUUAUUUUUUAAUCCGUUUAGUACUUUACAAUAAAUUAAAAUGUUUAGGCUCCUAGGGGAGUAUAAUUGUAAGGUUGAAAUUUAAAGAAAUUAAUAGAAGGGUACUAUUAGGGGUGGAGCUUACGGUUUAAUUUAAUUUAAUACAGGGAAAUUUACUAGGUUUAGAUAUAAUAAGGAUUGAUAAAUUGAGAGUUUUUUUUUAAUUUUGUAGGUAGUAGUAUAUGGCCGUUUUUAGUUAGUAGAGUAAUUUGUUUAUUUAAUUAUAAUAACGAACGAGACUUUAAUUUAUUAAAUAACUUGUAUUAUUUUGGUAGUACGUUGGUUUUUUAGAGGGAUUAUCGGUUUAAGCCGAUAGAAGUUUAAAGUAAUAAUAGGUUUGUAAUACCUUUAGAUAUUUUAAACCGUAUGCGCGCUAUAUUAAUAUAAUUAGUAAGUAUUCCUUUAAUUGGAAAGUCCGGGUAAUUUUAUUAAAUUGUAUUAUAUUGGGGAUAGAAUAUUGUAAUUAUUACUCUUUAAUAAGGAAUUCCUAAUAAAUAUAAGUUAUUAGUUUGUAUUGAUUAUGUCCUUGCCUUUUAUAUAUACCGCCCGUUACUAUUAUUAAUUAAAUAGUUUAAUAAGGUUUCCAAAUUAGUUUAGGGAGGUUGGUAAUAAUUAUUUAAGGCCGGAAAGCUAUUUAAAUUCAGUUAUUUAAAGGAAGUAAAAGUUGUAAUAAGGUUUCUAUUGGUGAAUUAGCGGAGGGAUUAUUA
rfam:Neurospora crassa OR74A unplaced genomic scaffold supercont12.8, whole genome shotgun sequence.